GGUUCGAUCAUGGCUCAGAUUGAACGCUGGCGGGAUGCUUUUAUACAUGCAAGUCGAACGGCAGCAGCGGACGGCUCAGUGGCGAGUGGCGAACGGGUGAGUAAUGUAUCGGAACGUGCCUAGUAGCGGGGAUAACUACGCGAAAGCGUAGCUAAUACCGCAUAACGGCCCUUCGGGAAAGCGGGGACCUUCGGGCCUCGCACUAUUAGAGCGGCCGAUAUCGGAUUAGCUAGUUGGUGGGGUAACGGCUCACCGGCGACGAUCCGUAGCUGGUUUGAGAGGACGACCAGCCACACUGGGACCGAGACAUCGCUCCAGACUCCACGGAGGCAGCAGUGGGGAAUUUUUGGACAGUCGGGGAAACCCUGAUCCAGCCAUCCCGCGUGUGCGAUGAAGGCCUUCGGGUUGUAAAGCACUUUUGGCAGGAAAGAAACGGCACGGGGAUAAUACCCCGUGCAACUGACGGUACCUGCAGAAUAAGCACCGGCUAACUACGUGCCAGCAGCCGCGGUAAUACGUAGGGUGCAAGCGUUAAUCGGAAUUACUGGGCGUAAAGCGGUGCAGGCGGUUCGGAAAGAAAGAUGUGGAAAUCCCAGAGCUUAACUUUGGAACUGCAUUUUUAACUACCGAGCUAGAGUGUGUCAGAGGGAGGUGGAAUUCCGCGUGUAGCAGUGAAAUGCGUAGAUAUGCGGAGGAACACCGAUGGCGAAGGCAGCCUUCCUGGGAUAACACUGACGCUCAUGCACGAAAGCGUGGGGAGCAAACAGGAUUAGAUACCCUGGUAGUCCACGCCCUAAACGAUGUCAACUAGCUGUUGGGGCCUUCGGGCUCUCGGUAGCGCAGCUAACGCGUGAAGUUGACCGCCUGGGGAGUACGGUCGCAAGAUUAAAACUCAAAGGAAUUGACGGGGACCCGCACAAGCGGUGGAUGAUGUGGAUUAAUUCGAUGCAACGCGAAAACCUUACCUACCCUUGACAUGUCUGGAAUCCCGAAGAGAUUUGGGAGUGCUCGCAAGAGAACCGGAACACAGGUGCUGCAUGGCUGUCGUCAGCUCGUGUCGUGAGAUGUUGGGUUAAGUCCCGCAACGAGCGCAACCCUUAGUCAUUAGUUGCUGCAAGGAAAGGGCACCUAAUGAGACUGUCGGUGACAAACCGGAGGAAGGGUGGGGAUGACGUCAAGUCCUCAUGGCCCUUAUGGGUAGGGCUUUCACACGUCAUACAAUGGUCGGGACAGGGUCGCCAACCCGCGAGGGGGAGCCAAUCCCAGAAACCCGAUCGUGAAGUCCGGAUCGCAGUCUGCAACUCGACUGCGCAAGUCGGAAUCGCUAGUAAUCGUGGAUCAGCAUGUCGCGGUGAAUACGUUCCCGGGUCUUGUACACACCGCCCGUCACACCAUGGGAGUGGGUUUUACCAGAAGUAGUUAGCCUAACCGUAAGGAGGGCGAUUACCACGGUAGGAUUCAUGACUGGGGUGAAGUCGUAACAAGGUAG
rnacentral:rRNA from 1 species